rnacentral:rRNA from 1 species
GCCCUAAAUCUAGCCCAUAUAUUAUUAAUGCCCUCUCCACAAAACAGCAAACCACAAUAAAACAUUUUAACACUUUAGUAAAGGCGAUUGAAAAUACAAUCUGCGCAAUAGAAAUUGUACCGCAAGGGAACGAUGAAAGACACUGAAACAAUAUUAAAGCACUAAAUAGCAGAGAACAACCUCGUACCUUUUGCAUCAUGGUCUAGCAAGUCUAUUCAAGCAAAAUGAAUUUUAGUUAGAAGCCCCGAAACUAGGUGAGCUACUUCGAGAUAGUCUAAAGAACAAACCCGUCUCUGUUGCAAUAGAGUGGGAGAAUCCCCAAGUAGAGGCGACAAACCUACCGCACCUAGAGAUAGCUGGUUGCCCAAGAAAAGAAUAUUAGUUCUACCCUAAGUUUAUGAAUUACAUAAAAACCCCUUAAAACUUAAGAGCCAAUCAAAUAAGGUACAGCUUAUUUGAAAUAGGAAACAGCCUAAACCACAGGGUAAUGUGUAUAAAACAAGCACCUGGUUGGCCUAAAAGCAGCCACCCCCUAAAAAGCGUUAAAGCUUACCACUUCCCCCCCCCCCUCCAAUACCAAAAUACACCCUUAACCCGUCCCCCAUAUUGGACAACCCCAUAAACCUAUGGAAGAUAUAAUGCUAGAACUAGUAACAAGAAAAAGCCUUUCUCCAAAAUGUUAGCCUAAGCCACAAUAGACAAACUACUGGCAAUCAACGCGUAUGAAACCACUAUAACAACCCCAACAAGAAAACCCUAUACCCACACAGCGUUAACCUUACACUAGAGCAUUCCUGGAAAGAUUAAAAGAAAAAGAAGGAACUCGGCAAAACCUAGCCCCGCCUGUUUACCAAAAACAUCGCCUCUUGAUAAAAUAUAAGAGGUCCAGCCUGCCCAGUGACUCAAUUCAACGGCCGCGGUACCCUAACCGCGCGAAGGUAGCAUAAUCACUUGUUCUCUAAAUAAGGACUUGUAUCAACGGCAUCACGAGAGCUAUACUGUCUCCUUUAUCUAAUCUGUGAAACUAAUCCCCCCGUGAAGAAGCGGGGAUACAACUAUAAGACGAGAAGACCCCAUGGAGCUUUAAACUUAGCCCCACCCCCGCCCCCACAUCCACAGACCAACGGGACCCUGCGUGCUCAGUUUUAGGUUGGGGUGACCACGGAGUAUAACACAACCUCCACGAUAAAUAAAACUAUUCUCUUAAUCUAAGAGCCACACCUCUAAGAAUUAGAACCCUAAUACUAAUGACCCGAUAAUCGAUCAACGGACCAAGUUACCCUGGGGAUAACAGCGCAAUCUACUUCAAGAGCCCCUAUCGACAAGUGGGUUUACGACCUCGAUGUUGGAUCAGGAUGUCCCAGUGGUGCAGCAGCUACUAAGGGUUCGUUUGUUCAACGAUUAAAAUCCUACGUGAUCUGAGUUCAGACCGGAGCAAUCCAGGUCGGUUUCUAUCUAUAAAGAGCCUCCUCUAGUACGAAAGGACCGAGGCAGCGCGGCCAAUAUUCACCAAGCCGCACCUCCCCCACUAAUGACUUCCACUCAAUUAGUAAGGAUCUAAUACCACCCCUAAAACAGGGCUC